rnacentral:lncRNA from 1 species
GUGGGCGGCCCAGGGUGCUCCAGGGUCUCGCAGGAGGGAGAACUGGAAGCUCAAUAGCAAACGUCAGCAUGCUGGCAAGAGGAGCAGCUUCAGAACCCCAGAAGCCAGGCGGAGCAGGAAGAGGAUCUCAGGCUGAGGUGGCCCAAGCUGUCCGAGCACCGAUCGUGGUUUACUUUCUUAAGCUCCCAAACCUCUAUGUCCCGGUCGCUGACAAGGGGAUAACACGCCUGGGGCUCUGCCACACGACCUGCGCGCCUCCUCGGCCCCAUCCACUCUCGCUGCUGCGCUGUCCCGGACCUCGGGGCGCCUCGCCUUUCCGAAGGUAGGGAAAGGCCCAGGCCCUGGCAUCCUCCGCGGCCAAACCUCAGGGCAGGACGCCCUCCUCGGGGCAGCCCGGCGAUGACUCUGCUUGGUCGGGCCGCCGCCACCAGGCCAGCGGAAUUUUCCUCCGAUCGGUUUGGCCUCGGAAGGGCGCCGGGCGCG